AAACUUUUUCGACAGCUAUAACUUUAAUGAUUUAUUUUUCGUUUUUUUUUAUUUAAUGACUCAAUUAUCGUUUGAUUCCUCCUCGUGUAUCGUCGGUUCGAAUCUCUUAUUAACGAUCGUACCAAUUUCCAACGACUUUUUGGAGCUUUUUUUGUUGUUGUUGCUUUAUGUUUGCUUAACAGUGAAAUUAAUUCUUUCUUACUUGCGCUGGGAGACAAUUCUAUCGAUACACGAGAAAAAAGUGAACGUGUUUAACAUAUUAAGAUUAAAGAAGCAGUAGAUAUCUAAGUAAAUGAAACAGUUUGCCUAGCCAAGUAACUCUGUGGAAGUGGAACUGGAGAGCGAGGUAUCGAAACCCUAGACGUCCGCUGUUUUUACUCUCUCGACAUGCAGCUCACUGAGGAGUUUACUGUGUUUGCUACCGCACCAGACCCAUAGCGGUUGUUCUUCGAAACAGGGUUUGCGCCUUCUGGACGACCCCACAAAGUGGUGUGUGUGCAAACACAAUUGCCUAUCAGUGUGGCGGUGGAACAGGUUAUCUUGAGAAUACUGGGCUGGACAGAAUGGCAACACCG